rnacentral:rRNA from 1 species
CGUGGGUAACCUGCCUUAUAGUGGGGGAUAGCCUUUCGAAAGGAAGAUUAAUACCGCAUAAGAUUGUAGUAUCGCAUGAUAUAGCAAUUAAAGGAGCAAUUCGCUAUAAGAUGGACCCGCGUCGCAUUAGCUAGUUGGUGAGGUAAUGGCUCACCAAGGCGACGAUGCGUAGCCGACCUGAGAGGAUGACCAGCCACACUGGAACUGAGACACGGUCCAGACUCCUACGGGAGGCAGCAUG